rnacentral:rRNA from 1 species
CAGCAGCCGCGGGAACACAGAGGGUGCAAGCGUUAAUCGGAAUUACUGGGCGUAAAGCGCGCGUAGGUGGUUUGUUAAGUUGGAUGUGAAAUCCCCGGGCUCAACCUGGGAACUGCAUCCAAAACUGGCAAGCUAGAGUAUGGUAGAGGGUGGUGGAAUUUCCUGUGUAGCGGUGAAAUGCGUAGAUAUAGGAAGGAACACCAGUGGCGAAGGCGACCACCUGGACUGAUACUGACACUGAGGUGCGAAAGCGUGGGGAGCAAACAGGAUUAGAUACCCGGGUAGUCCCUGUCUCUUAUAC